GAUGAACGCUAGCGGCAGGCUUAAUACAUGCAAGUCGUGGGGCAGCAGGUCCCGCAGCAAUGCGGGAUGCUGGCGACCGGCAAACGGGUGCGGAACACGUACACAACCUUCCUUUAAGUGGGGCAUAGCCUAAGGAAACUUGGAUUAAUACCCCGUAACAUAUUGAAAAGGCAUCUUUUUAAUAUUAUAGCAGCAAUGCGCUUGAAGACGGGUGUGCGUCUGAUUAGGAGUUGGCGGGGUAACGGCCCACCAAGCCUUCGAUCAGUAACUGGUGUGAGAGCACGACCAGUCACACGGGCACUGAGACACGGGCCCGACUCCUACGGGAGGCAGCAGUAAGGAAUAUUGGUCAAUGGACGCAAGUCUGAACCAGCCAUGCCGCGUGGAGGAUGAAGGUCCUCUGGA
rnacentral:rRNA from 1 species